rnacentral:lncRNA from 1 species
CAGAAACUGGUGCAAGAGGCCAUGAUCUGCUUACUAAGUGAAGCUGGAUGAGGCUAACUUGAGUGCGGUACUUCAGGAUGUACAGCAGCAGCAUGCUGGUGUUUUAAGUGGUAGCAUUACACCUUUCCUGGAUAGUGCAGCAGUUACCUGUUAAGUGUAUCUGCUCCUGUGCUGGGCUGUUUUUUGGGACUGUAAGGAGGGGAUUGUUGAGAGAAGAUGCUCUUCUCCAGCUGCAGUGUGGUGCUUUCUCCUGAUGUAGUGCUAUGUGAGCUCUUAGUCCUUGUGCAAGAGGGUUUUUUUGUUGUGUUUUUUUUUGUUGUGUGUUGAGAGGAUGAGUGAAGCUCUUCCACGUGUGCUGGAGUUGAUCGUUGAGAUUCAACAUGCUUCUUUUAGCCAGGGAAAAGGAAUGCAAUAGCAAAGUUAAAUGAAGUGAACUCAUUGUGAAAUACUGCUAUUGAAGUGCCACAGGGUGGCCAUCUGUCUGCUGUUCUGUACUGCUAAAGCUAUUUUUUUUUUUUUUUUAACAACACUUUGUCAUCAAAGCCUGCAGUUUCUUCCUGAGCUCUCGGACAGCACAGGGCAGGAUUGGGAGCAGAACAACCCCCUUUCCUUUCAGCCAACCCCUAGCAGAGAAUAUCUACAUCCUUUUCUGGUAAUUCCUACAAAGAGCUGAAACUCUCAUUAUCCUCUUCCUAAAGGUCAUUCCUGAGAUUCUACCUAAGUACAAAUACAGCCUUCUGUUGGCUUUCUCCACAGGUGAUAGCCUUCCAAUUUACAGGUUACUUCUUCAAACUGGUGAGGUCAGGAGCAUUAAGUACACUUAAGAAAGGUAAAAAGAAAAAAACAACUGGCUGGACAUUGUGGAGGGGUUACUAAGUACACAGUUGUGUUUACUUAAGGAUAAAGCACAAAAGAUCAGGAGUCAUUGGAAUUAACAGCAGGAUUCCUACAAGCAUUGUUUUUUGUUUAGUUUGUCUUUCACAUGCACUCUGCCCAUCAGAGCUUUUGCAAAAUCAAACAGACAAAAAAAGCCACCGAAGAGAGUGAGCUGUCUCUGUUACUGUCUGAGGCCCUGCAGAUGCCACUUUCCCUCUUGGGUGAAGUUUUGUUCCUCUGCAUCUGACAGCUCCUCAAACCUUCCUUUGCCACUUGCCUUUGUCUUGUUGCUGUAGUUCUCCCUUCCUCUUCAUUUAUUCCACAUUCCCAAGUAGGAAACACUUCCUUCUUGCUCAAGCAAACAUGCCAUCCGAGGAAAAUCCCAAAGCAGCAGCAGCAGCUGAAUGUAAUGACUCAUGAUGGAUGUAAUGGCUCAUGAUCAUUUCUGGUCUGGCAUGGAUGGAUCCCAGUCCUGUCAGUCUCUGAUGGGUACACAAAUGGAGGCAUGGAGGCAUUUGAUAAGAAAAAAGUUUUCAUAGCGAUUCAUGUUCCCAGACUGGUUUCAUGAAGAGCAAUAGAGCUGCUGGACCUUCCAACUGAGUCUGACUGAGACAUGGUCGCUAAAAGAACUGACCUGUCCUUCACCCAGAAUCUGGCGGCAAAUUUGUCUCCCAUCUGCACUGUGGUGUGUGUUGUAGUACGGUUGUGGAAGUUGCACUUAAAUGUUGAGAGAUCUGUGAGUGUAGUUACGUGACUAAGCAUAAUCUGCUUUCGGGGAGAAAAGCUAUUAAGCUGCAGAAAUCUUAUUAGCAGUCCUGAAUGGUAGACCUUGGUAUUAGAAUUUAAAUUGCAAUCUUGGUGUGUUUCAGUUCAUCAGAGUUAUUCAAGGCAUGUUUGUGAGAAUUAUGCCUACACGGUAAGAAUGCAUAGUGAUAUUUAGUUUAAUAUACUAAUUAAUUAUGUCUGGAUGUGUUUACCACUCUGACUGUACCAUCACAUUUCCACCACCGUUCUGAAUUAACCUAGUCUUUCCCCUCAGAUCCUGCUGCCUUUUUCAUUUUCUUUUCCCUGGGAUGUUGUCUCUUUGUAAUUACUUUAUCAGCAUUUAAACAGAGUGUUUCCUCUCAGAAUAACGAGCAGAGGAAGGCACCGGGCAGUUUGUCCCCAUUUUGCUAACAGAGCAUCUGAAGCUGCCUUGGGCUGCUUCUUCCCACUGCCAGGUCAACUCUUUCUCCAUCCCAGGGUACCGCUCCCAAAUGAUAAGCUGCAGAGUUACAUAGAAUCUUUUUAGCAGGGUGUCCUUUGGUCACUGCAUUCCUCUUGAAUAAGGUUUUUCUCCUCGAAAUAAGAAUAACUAUAAAAUAAAUAAAAAAGCAACCAUUUGGCAGUUGAGCAUUGUUCUCUCCAUUGUGGUGCUGUAUAGUCCCAGAGUAAUUUGUAUUGCUGGACAUGAGCUGGUAUUCUGUUUAAGAUAUGAGGAGUGAAGUGAUCUUUCUCUGUUUUAGUAACCAUAAACAACUUGUUUCUUCCACUUUGUGAGGUUUUAAUUUUGGAUGAAGAGUUACUGCAUAAUUCUUCUAGGAAUACUUGUACUCGCUACUUCAAAAAAUAUCAGAAAGCACGCGGAGGUGAUGGGUUUGUGUGCUGGUGGUUGGACUAGAUGAUCGUAGUGGUGGUCUUUUCCAUCCUUAAUGAUUCUGUGAUUCAGUGAAAACGUAGCAUAUUGUGAAACUGUGAUCCUGUUCACCUUGCUAUCAGUGAAUGUAUUUGCAGGAACGCAUUCACAGGGGAUGCAGAGAACACAGUUCCAGGGACUUUGCUUAAAAAAUCUCAACAUUCAAAGUGACUUUGUUACUUAUAUAUGUUUUCCUGAUAGUUGGGAAAGUGGCAGGGGAGGAAGACUCCUGCAAAGGAAACGCAGCCCAGGAGAUUAGAUCAUGUUGCUUUUUCCGAAGCUGCGCAGCAGAUUUUUCUGCGUAAGGCUUUGAAUAAAUUAUUUACUUUUUAGAUGCUUUUAUUGUUGCAUUCAUGAUUUAAAAGAGCACGGCUCUGCUGGUGCGUUGUUUGUCACCUAAAACACCCUGCUCCUGAUGGUGCCUCUCUCUCUGCCUGGUGAGUGCCUUGGCACGCUACGGCGGGGCUCAGCAGUUUGGUUUGGAUAAGCAUCAGAGAGCUUGUGUCCUCCUCAGGAUUUCUAGAAAUGAUAUGGGUAGCCUUGUGAGAGAAAAAAGCUCUCACGUGCUUUCUGGUAUUUGGCAGUUUGAGCUGUGUCACUGAUUCUGGGAGAGUGUUCUUGAGAUACCAGAGACACCUUUCCAAAAUAUCCCCUGGAGUUUGGCAACAUCUGUACACAGCACAGUGUGAGAUCUUGCAAUUUCCACUUUAUUUGGAAUGGGAUGUUCUGGUGAUACAUUUAAUCAUAGAAUCACCAAGGUUGGAAAAUACCUCCAAGAUCAUCCAGUCCAACUGUCCACCUAUCAUCUCACUGGCAGAUAGUUUUCUCUUACUGACUUCCCCCUUACUGUAUAACUCCUGUUUCUCUUAUUAUAUAGAUUACUUACUUAUAGAAUACUUAUAGAAUACUCAUUCUGUGUGGUUUAAGACCAGAUGCUUGCUGUGUCUGUCUACAGUGCACAUCACAACAAAAAUAAUCCAUACCCUCCAUAUGGAAAUAGCGUGCAGUGUAUACCCUACAGUGCAUAUGCUAUACACCCGUAGUGUACUGUAACCUGACAGUGAAUAGUAACCACUUGAUUGAAUUUCUAAACUUUGCCAGAGCACAUGAGAGAAUUUAAUUUUCAUCAAAAGAAUAUAUUUUACCAUUGAAUGAUGUAUACUUCAUGAGAAGGACGGUGAUUGCCUGAAGGAUAGAUGCUGCCUCUCCAAUGUUAGCCAGCAUCCGCUGAGUGUGUGGCUGCUUUGCUUAAUUCUUUGCUGGUGCCGGAUUGUUAUGUACUGUAAUGAAUUAAUUAUCAUAGACUCAUAGAACUAUUAAUGUUGGAAAAGACCACUAUUAUAAAAGCUUUCUUUUCUGGUAAGAAAAACCAGUUGUUUGAAAUAGCUUUUUCACGAUUAAGAAUUAUUUACUUUGUACGGUUAGUGAUAUUUCUGAAGGAACGAAUAGUUUGUAGAUACUUCAGGGAUAUGUUUUAAAUCAUUAGGCAUUGAAAUUGCUAUUAAUGACCUAUGGAUGUCUCAGUGUUUUUUAUGCAGCCUAGAACAGCCCAAGGAACAUGGAGCCAGCAUUUGUCUGUACAGGUGGGCCCAAAAGCACGCAUGCAGGCAUGCUGCCAUGUCAGUAACCUGGCACAAAAAGCUGACACAAGUAUGCCCAUGUGGACAGCUCAGGCAAGAACUGGUAUUUCCACAGUGAUUCAUCUAAUCUCUGAAGCCUCUUCUAGGAUAGCCUGGAUGAAUUACCCCGUGGCAGUUCUUCCUCUUUGCCAUAAAAAGAGCAUGUGGUGACUAGUUCAAACCUAAAGGCCCAACUGCUUUUUUAAACUGUACCAUAGAAGCACAUUUGUGGGUUCUUGCAAAUGGGAUAAGGAUCUGGCAGGCAAAACCAGUGCUAUGAGAAGCUGAAGCUCUGCUGGUCACCAUAGCACUGAAAUCACUUACGCCAUCACCAGCCA